GCGGGUGCCUAAUACAUGCAAGUCGAGCGGACAGAUGGGAGCUUGCUCCCUGAUGUUAGCGGCGGACGGGUGAGUAACACGUGGGUAACCUGCCUGUAAGACUGGGAUAACUCCGGGAAACCGGGGCUAAUACCGGAUGGUUGUCUGAACCGCAUGGUUCAGACAUAAAAGGUGGCUUCGGCUACCACUUACAGAUGGACCCGCGGCGCAUUAGCUAGUUGGUGAGGUAACGGCUCACCAAGGCGACGAUGCGUAGCCGACCUGAGAGGGUGAUCGGCCACACUGGGACUGAGACACGGCCCAGACUCCUACGGGAGGCAGCAGUAGGGAAUCUUCCGCAAUGGACGAAAGUCUGACGGAGCAACGCCGCGUGAGUGAUGAAGGUUUUCGGAUCGUAAAGCUCUGUUGUUAGGGAAGAACAAGUGCCGUUCAAAUAGGGCGGCACCUUGACGGUACCUAACCAGAAAGCCACGGCUAACUACGUGCCAGCAGCCGCGGUAAUACGUAGGUGGCAAGCGUUGUCCGGAAUUAUUGGGCGUAAAGGGCUCGCAGGCGGUUUCUUAAGUCUGAUGUGAAAGCCCCCGGCUCAACCGGGGAGGGUCAUUGGAAACUGGGGAACUUGAGUGCAGAAGAGGAGAG
rnacentral:rRNA from 1 species